rnacentral:rRNA from 1 species
CUACGGGGUGCUCCAGUAGGGAAUUUUGCGCAAUGGGCGAAAGCCUGACGCAGCAACACCGCGUGUGGGAUGAAGCUUUUCGGAGUGUAAACCACUGUCAGUGGGGACGAAAUAUGACGGUACCCACAGAGGAAGCAUCGGCUAACUACGUGCCAGCAGCCGCGGUAAGACGUAGGAUGCAAGCGUUGUCCGGAAUUAUUGGGCGUAAAGCGUUCGUAGGUGGCCUGUCAAGUCUGAUGUUAAAGCCCGGAGCUCAACUCCGGUUCAGCAUUGGUUACUGGCAAGCUAGAGUGCAGGAGAGGCAAGGGGAAUUCCUAGUGUAGCGGUGAAAUGCGUAGAUAUUAGGAGGAACACCGGUGGCGAAAGCGCCUUGCUGGACUGUAACUGACGCUGAGGGACGAAAGCCAGGGGAGCAAAUGGGAUUAGAUACCCCAGUAGUC